UCAGGACGAACGCUGGCGGCGUGCUUAACACAUGCAAGUCGAACGGAAAGGCCCAGCUUGCUGGGUACUCGAGUGGCGAACGGGUGAGUAACACGUGGGUGAUCUGCCCCUGACUUUGGGAUAAGCCUGGGAAACUGGGUCUAAUACCGGAUAUGACCUUACAUCGCAUGGUGUUUGGUGGAAAGCUUUUGCGGUUGGGGAUGGGCCCGCGGCCUAUCAGCUUGUUGGUGGGGUAAUGGCCUACCAAGGCGACGACGGGUAGCCGACCUGAGAGGGUGAUCGGCCACACUGGGACUGAGACACGGCCCAGACUCCUACGGGAGGCAGCAGUGGGGAAUAUUGCACAAUGGGCGCAAGCCUGAUGCAGCGACGCCGCGUGAGGGAUGACGGCCUUCGGGUUGUAAACCUCUUUCACCAGGGACGAAGCGUGAGUGACGGUACCUGGAGAAGAAGCACCGGCCAACUACGUGCCAGCAGCCGCGGUAAUACGUAGGGUGCGAGCGUUGUCCGGAAUUACUGGGCGUAAAGAGCUCGUAGGCGGUUUGUCGCGUCGUCUGUGAAAUUCUGCAGCUUAACUGUAGGCGUGCAGGCGAUACGGGCAGACUUGAGUACUACAGGGGAGACUGGAAUUCCUGGUGUAGCGGUGAAAUGCGCAGAUAUCAGGAGGAACACCGGUGGCGAAGGCGGGUCUCUGGGUAGUAAC
rnacentral:rRNA from 1 species